GAAAAAAGUAAAAAAGAAAUGGAAAAAGUAAACAAAGAUAUUUACAAUUCCAACACCAGGUAUAGAACGAUAAGGAUUUCAGCCAACCAUAGAGAAACAUAACCGAGAAAGACAAAUGUUAUAUACAAUUGUAGCUAAUUUUACAAUCCUUAUGAACUAAGGGUUGACCAUGUAUUCUCACAUGAAUUGCACAAGGACAAUCUUGAAAUAUAUUGCAUCUCAAUAACAGUGAUA